UGGGGUUUACAGUAUUAUGUUAUGUUAUGGUUGUAAUUGUUAUUUAAUAAACGGCUGCUGUGGCCAUUACAUUUCCAGUUGGUGGUCCGAGUUUUUAUUGGGAUUGGGGCUCUGUGGCCGGGAGGUGUAAUGGUGGCAAAGUAGUAUUUG